AGUUUGAUCCUGGCUCAGCGCGAACGCUGGCGGCGUGCUUAAUACAUGCAAGUCGAACGAGAAAGCUCCCUUCGGGGGGUGAGUAAAGCGGCGAACGGGUGAGUAACACGUGGACAACCUGCCCUCGAAUCUGGGAUAAUCCCCCGAAAGGGGGUCUAAUACCGGAUAAUACCACCGAAGGGCAUCCUUUGGUGGUCAAAGGCGGGGCAACCUGCCGUUUGAGGAUGGGUCCGCGCCCCAUUAGCUUGUUGGCGAGGUAACAGCUCACCAAGGCGACGAUGAGUAGCCGGCCUGAGAGGGCGAUCGGCCACACUGGGACUGAGAUACGGCCCAGACUCCUACGGGAGGCAGCAGUAGGGAAUAUUGCGCAAUGGACGCAAGUCUGACGCAGCAACGCCGCGUGGGUGAUGAAGCAUCUUGGUGUGUAAAACCCUGUCAGUGGGGAAGAAACGUGCAAGGAGUAACUGCCUUGCGCCUGACGGUACCCACAGAGGAAGCACCGGCUAACUCCGUGCCAGCAGCCGCGGUAAUACGGGGGGUGCAAGCGUUGCUCGGAUUUACUGGGCGUAAAGGGCGCGUAGGCGGACCUUCAAGUCGGAUGUGAAACCUGGCGGCUCAACCGCCAGCCUGCAUUCGAUACUGGAGGUCUUGAGUACAGCAGGGGAAAGCGGAAUUCCAGGUGUAGCGGUGAAAUGCGUAGAUAUCUGGAAGAACACCAGUAGCGAAGGCGGCUUUCUGGGCUGAUACUGACGCUGAAGCGCGAAGGCCAGGGGAGCAAACAGGAUUAGAUACCCUGGUAGUCCUGGCGGUAAACGAUGGGCACUAGGUGUCGGGGGUAUCGACCCCCUCGGUGUCGAAGCUAACGCAUUAAGUGCCCCGCCUGGGGAGUACGAUCGCAAGGUUGAAACUCAAAGGAAUUGACGGGGGCCCGCACAAGCGGUGGGGUAUGUGGUUUAAUUCGAGGCAACGCGAAGAACCUUACCUGGGUUUGACAUGCUUGGGAUAGCCGGUGAAAGCCGGUUUCCUCUUCGGAGGCCCUUGCACA
rnacentral:rRNA from 1 species